rnacentral:rRNA from 1 species
UCUGGUGCCAGCAGCCGCGGUAAUUCCAGCUCUAAUAGCGUAUAUUAAAGUUGUUGCAGUUAAAAAGCUCGUAGUUGGAUUUCGGCGUGCGCUCAGGCUGGUCGGCCGUCAAGGUCUGUACCGUUUGGGUCACGCCCCACUGUAGGAUACUCACCGCUGUCCUUAACUGGGUGGCGGUCAAAGGGGGUGUGCAUGGGGGCAACUCUGUGCAUAUCUCUGGGGUUCCUACUCUUUUACUUUGAGCAAAUUAGAGUGUUCAAAGCAGGCAAUCGAGCCUUGAAUACUUCAGCAUGGGAUAAUGGAACAGGACUGGGGUCCUGAUUUCGUUGGUUUCUGGGAUCUCAGUAAUGAUUAAUAGGGAUAGUUGGGGGCAUUAGUAUUUAAUUGUCAGAGGUGAAAUUCUUGGAUUUAUGAAAGACUAACUUCUGCGAAAGCAUUUGCCAAGGAUGUUUUCAUUAAUCAAGAACGAAAGUUAGGGGAUCGAAGACGAUCAGAUACCGUCGUAGUCUUAACCAUAAACGAUGCCGACCAGCGAUUGGGAGACGUUACAUGGAUGACUCCCCCAGCAGCUUGCGAGAAAUCACAAGUCUUUGGGUUCCGGGGGGAGUAUGGUCGCAAGGCUGAAACUUAAAGGAAUUGACGGAAGGGCACCACCAGGAGUGGAGCCUGCGGCUUAAUUUGACUCAACACGGGGAAACUUACCAGGUCCAGACAUAGUAAGGAUUGACAGAUUUGAGAGCUCUUUCUUGAUUCUAUGGGUGGUGGCGCAUGGCCGUUCUUAGUUGGUGGAGUGAUUUGUCUGGUUAAUUCCGUUAACGAACGAGACCUUAACCUGCUAAAUAUGUCACUGGUAGACUUCUGCCAAAACAGGUGGGUGUCUAGGGGAAAGUUUCGAUGGACUCCGACGCAUUCAUCUGUGGAUGACUACCAGGAUGUACUUCUUAGAGGGACUAUCUGUAUCAAAGCAGAUGGAAGUUUGAGGCAAUAACAGGUCUGUGAUGCCCUUAGAUGUUCUGGGCCGCACGCGCGCUACACUGACAAGUUCAACGAGUUUAACACCUUGCUCGAUAGGGCUGGGUAAUCUUUGAAAAACUUGUCGUGAUGGGGAUAGAUCAUUGUAAUUAUUGGUCUUCAACGAGGAAUUCCUAGUAAGCGUGAGUCAUCAGCUCGCGUUGAUUACGUCCCUGCCCUUUGUAUACACCGCCCGUCGCUCCUACCGAUUGAAUGAUCCGGUGAAAUGUUGGGAGCUGGGGUCUUUUGGCGGCGGGGCAACUCGUCGUCAGGGAUUCUGCAAACUUCAUUAAACCUUAUCAUUUAGA